CACGUAGGCACCAAGCGUUAUCCGGAUUUAUUGGGCGUAAAGGGCUCGUAGGCGGCCAACUAAGUCGGACGUGAAAUCCCUCAGCUUAACUGGGGAACUGCGUCCGAUACUGGAUGGCUUGGAUUCGGGAGAGGGAUGCGGAAUUCCAGGUGUAGCGGUGAAAUGCGUAGAUAUCUGGAGGAACACCGGUGGCGAAGGCGGCAUUCUGGACCGACAUUGACGCUGAGGAGCGAAAGCCAGGGGAGCAAACGGG
rnacentral:rRNA from 1 species